GAUGAACGCUGGCGGCGUGCCUAAUACAUGCAAGUCGAGCGAACAGACGAGGAGCUUGCUCCUCUGACGUUAGCGGCGGACGGGUGAGUAACACGUGGAUAACCUACCUAUAAGACUGGGAUAACUUCGGGAAACCGGAGCUAAUACCGGAUAAUAUAUUGAACCGCAGGGUUCAAUAGUGAAAGACGGUUUUGCUGUCACUUGUAGAUGGAUCCGCGCCGCAUUAGCUAGUUGGUAAGGUAACGGCUUACCAAGGCAACCAUGCGUAGCCGACCUGAGAGGGUGAUCGGCCACACUGGAACUGGGACACGGUCCAGACUCCUACGGGAGGCAGCAGUCGGGAAUCUUCCGCAAUGGGCGAAAGCCUGACGGAGCAACGCCGCGUGAGUGAUGAAGGUCUUCGGAUCGUAAAACUCUGUUAUUAGGGAAGAACAAAUGUGUAAGUAACUAUGCACGUCUUGACGGUACCUAAUCAGAAAGCCACGGCUAACUACGUG
rnacentral:rRNA from 1 species